GGAUGUGAGGGCGAACUGGCUGCGACACCUGUCACCCCAUUGAUCGCCAGGGUUGAUUCUGCUGAUCUGGCUGGCCAGGAGGGCAUCUUCUUCCUCCCUCACCGCUCCGUGUGUGUCCCUCCUGUCCCUCCCGAAGCUGGUCACUUGGUCGAAGAGGACUAUCUUCCCUGAAUUGAGGAGGUUGGAUAUUCUUUGGUCAUGGGUAUACGAGUAACUGCGCUCCCCUGCUGGAACCUCCAAACAAGCUCUCAAGAAUACUUGGGUGGGGGAGUGGGGGAGGGGGGGGA
rnacentral:snRNA from 1 species